ensembl:lncRNA
GUUAGCUGUCCCGUUAGCUGUCCCCAUUAGCUGUCCCCGUUAGUUGUCCCGUUAGCUGUCCCCGUUACUGUCCCCGUUAGCUGUCCCGUUAGUCCCCGUUAGCUGUCCUGUUAGUUGUCCCCGUUAGCUGUCCUCGUUAGCUGUCCUCGUUAGCUGUCCUGUUAGCUGUCCCCGUUAGUUGUCCCCGUUAGCUGUCCUCGUUAGCUGUCCUGUUAGCUGUCCCCGUUAGUUGUCCCCGUUAGCUGUCCCGUUAGCUGUCCUCGUUAGCUGUCCCCGUUAGCGUUGGAGCGUUGUGUGAUUAUUGAUUGUUAGCGAUUAUUAUUUGUGUGAAUGUGUUAGAACUAAUUACACAAUAUCACAUCCAUUUUAAAGUAUGAAAUAUAAGUUGAGAAAUUGAGAAAGUCAU